CACGUAGGGUGCGAGCGUUGUCCGGAAUUAUUGGGCGUAAAGAGCUCGUAGGCGGCUUGUCGCGUCGACUGGUGAAAACCCGCGGCUCAACCUCGGACUUGCAGUGGGUACGGGCAGACUAGAGGUGUGGUAGGGGAGACUGGAAUUCCUGGUGUAGCGGUGGAAUGCGCAGAUAUCGAGGAGGAACACCGAGUGGCGAAAGGCAGGUCUCUGGGC
rnacentral:rRNA from 1 species